ACGAACGCUGGCGGCGUGCUUAACACCUGCAGGUCGAACGGAAAGGCCCUGCUUUUGUGGGGUGCUCGAGUGGCGAACGGGUGAGUAACACGUGAGUAACCUGCCCUUGACUUUGGGAUAACUUCAGGAAACUGGGGCUAAUACCGGAUAGGAGCUCCUGCUGCAUGGUGGGGGUUGGAAAGUUUCGGCGGUUGGGGAUGGACUCGCGGCUUAUCAGCUUGUUGGUGGGGUAGUGGCUUACCAAGGCUUUGACGGGUAGCCGGCCUGAGAGGGUGACCGGCCACAUUGGGACUGAGAUACGGCCCAGACUCCUACGGGAGGCAGCGGUGGGGAAUAUUGCACAAUGGGCGGAAGCCUGAUGCAGCAACGCCGCGUGCGGGAUGACGGCCUUCGGGUUGUAAACCGCUUUCGCCUGUGACGAAGCGUGAGUGACGGUAAUGGGUAAAGAAGCACCGGCUAACUACGUG
rnacentral:rRNA from 1 species